rnacentral:rRNA from 1 species
AGCGAACGCUGGCGGCAGGCCUAACACAUGCAAGUCGAACGAACCUUUCGGGGUUAGUGGCGGACGGGUGAGUAACACGUGGGAACGUGCCUUUAGGUUCGGAAUAACUCAGGGAAACUUGUGCUAAUACCGAAUGUGCCCUUCGGGGGAAAGAUUAAUCGCCUUUAGAGCGGCCCGCGUCUGAUUAGCUAGUUGGUUGAGGUAAUGGCUCACCAAGGCGACGAUCAGUAGCUGGUCUGAGAGGAUGAUCAGCGACAUUGGGACUGAGACACGGCCCAAACUCCUACGGGAGGCAGCAGUGGGGGAUCUUGCGCAAUGGGCGAAAGCCUGACGCAGCCAGGCCGCGUGAAUGAUGAAGGUCUUAGGAUUGUAAAAUUCUUUCACCGGGGACGAUAAUGACGGUACCCGGAGAAGAAGCCCCGGCUAACUUCGUG